UCCCAAGUGGGCCAGAUAAUUGGCUUGGAGACUUUCACCAAGAACCAAGUCCAACUUUGUAUUGCCCAACAUAAAGCCUAGUAGGGCUGGUCUUAUAGAGACACUGAUGUCACUGUUUCCAGGCACAGAUUUUGAGGCUUAUACUGCAGAUACUCAUAGUGCCAGAUGCUGACUAGAGCUCUUGCCACCCUAACCCAAAGGAUAGGUCUUUGCAUCAUCAGUUCUCAAAUCCACAUCCUCCAAGAGAGCAUCUAAUUGGCAAAACCAAAGACACAUGCCUGUGUCCUCUCUUCAAGCAAUUUUCCUAGACUUUUUAUGGAAAGAGG
rnacentral:lncRNA from 10 species